AUACGGAGGGUGCAAGCGUUAUUCGGAAUCACUGGGCGGAAAGGACGCGUAGGCGGGUUGGCAAGUCAGAUGUGAAAUCCUGCAGCUUACCUGUACAACUGCAUUUGAAACUGCUAACCUAGAGUAUGGGAGGGGGAGAUGGAAUUAGUGGUGUAGGGGUAAAAUCCGUAGAUAUCACUAGGAAUACCGAAAGCGAAGGCGAUCUCCUGGAACAUAACUGACGCUAAGGCGUGAAAGCGUGGGGAGCAAACAGGAUUAGAAACCCUAGUAGUCC
rnacentral:rRNA from 1 species